rnacentral:rRNA from 1 species
UGAGGAAUAUUGGUCAAUGGGCGCAAGCCUGAACCAGCCAUCCCGCGUGAAGGAUGAAGGCCCUAUGGGUCGUAAACUUCUUUUAUACACCAAGAAAAAGCAGGACGUGUCCUGCCCCGACGGUAGUGUAUGAAUAAGCAUCGGCUAACUCCGUGCCAGCAGCCGCGGUAAUACGGAGGAUGCAAGCGUUAUCCGGAUUCAUUGGGUUUAAAGGGUGCGUAGGCGGCUUUUUAAGUCAGUGGUGAAAUCUUGCCGCUUAACGGUAAAAUUGCCAUUGAUACUGAUAAGCUUGAGUACAAUUGAGGUAAGCGGAAUGUGUAGUGUAGCGGUGAAAUGCUUAGAUAUUACACAGAACACCAAUUGCGUAGGCAGCUUACUGAGCCGACACUGACGCUGAGGCACGAAAGCGUGGGGAUCGAACA